AAGGAGGUCUCACCUGGACAGACUCAGGGAGGUCUCACCUGGACACACUCAAGGAGGUCUCACCUGGACACACUCAAGGAGGUCUCACCUGGACACACUCAUGGAGGUCUCACCUGGACAGACUUAGGGAGGUCUCACCUGGAGACACUCAUGGAGGUCUCACCUGGACAGACUUAGGGAGGUCUCACCUGGACACACUCAGGGAGGUCUCACCUGGACACACUCAGGGAGGUCUCACCUGAACAGACUCAGGGAGGUCUCACCU